CAGGUAUUAGUUUAAAAAAAUUUUAAUUUUGGAGAUUAAAGAUAAAAGUUUAUUUUAUAUCUGA
rnacentral:tRNA from 1 species